CCAGAGUUGUCUCCCUUUGUGAUUUCUUUAUUGUUUCUACUUCCACUUUUAGAUGCUGGAUGGUUCUGUUCAAUUCUUUCACCUUUUUGUAUGUGUUUUCCUGUAAUUCUUUAAGGAAUUUUUGUGUUUCCUCCUUAAGGGUUUCUACCUGUUUACCUGUUUACCUGUGUUCUCCUGUAUUUCUUUAAGGGAGUUAUGUCCUUUUUAUAGUCCUCCAUCAUCAUCAUGAGAAGUGACUUUAGAUCCAUAUCUUGCUUUUCUGGUGUGAUGGUGUAUCCAUCACUUGCUAUGGUAGGAGAGUUGUGUUGUGAUAAUGCCAAGUAACCUUGUUUUCUGUUGCUUCUUUUAUUACACUUGUCUCCAGCCAUCUGAUUUCAUCACGUGCUUCCUGCCCUUGGUAUAUCUGAUUGGAGCCUGUCCUUCCUGUAAUCCUGGUAGAGUGAGAACUCCUCAGAUGCCAGCUUUCUUUGUGAUCCUGUCAUUCCGGGAUCCUUUGAUCCUGAGAUUCUGGGUGUGUCAAAUUUCUUGGCAGUCAAGAUUCCUCUGAGAUCCUGGUGUGACCAAGCCCCUGGGAUCCUGGGGUCCUACAAUCCUGGGUUUGUUAGAGUGCCUGGAAGUGGUAUCUCCUCUGGGGACCAUGGAGCUGACUGUUGAGUUCCAAACCAAUGUAGUCCAGAGCUUUCCAGAAGGAACUCGAACCACUGGUUGGGGGAGAGGGGGGCUCCUGUGUCCCUGCUCCUGUUGGCUCCAGGCACUCCCAAUUGUGUUGAAACAGAUGUUGCAUUCCACUCACCAGUGAUCCUAAGAUCCUGGGCAUGCUAGGGUGCCUGGGGAAUGGAGAGUCCUUUGGGACCUUGGAAAUUUUCGCCAAGCUUGAAUCCAAGGUGGCCCUGCAUUGGCUUCGACUGGAAGGAUCCCCAAAUGUAUCAUUUUCAAACUGCCAUUCUACAUAUCACAUUUCUAGUGCUGUGUGUCCUUUUGGGGAGUUACGAAAAUCUUCAGAGAAUUGGAUCAGCUUAAUGUGUGACUAUUCUUUCACAUUCACAAUUUUAAUAUGGUAUAACACACAUGUGUAGAUGACCUUGAUUUCUGUUGCGAUUUCUGGCCUGAAUAUGGGUCAUCUACACAUGUGUGUUAUACCAUAUUAAAAUUGUGAA
rnacentral:lncRNA from 1 species